GUAAGGAAUAUUGGUCAAUGGACGCAAGUCUGAACCAGCCAUGCCGCGUGGAGGAUGAAGGUCCUCUGGAUUGUAAACUUCUUUUAUCGGAGAAGAAACCCUUAUAUUCUUAUGAGGUUGACGGUACCCGAUGAAUAAGCACCGGCUAACUCCGUGCCAGCAGCCGCGGUAAUACGGAGGGUGCAAGCGUUAUCCGGAUUCACUGGGUUUAAAGGGUGCGUAGGUGGGCUAGUAAGUCCGUGGUGAAAUCUCCAAGCUUAACUUGGAAACUGCCGUGGAUACUAUUAGUCUUGAAUCUCGUGGAGGUAAGCGGAAUAUGUCAUGUAGCGGUGAAAUGCUUAGAUAUGACAUAGAACACCGAUAGCGAAGGCAGCUUGCUACACGAGUAUUGACACUGAGGCACGAAAGCGUGGGGAUCAAACAGGAUUAGAAACCCUUGUAGUCC
rnacentral:rRNA from 1 species